AAUGAAAUGGCUGAGGGAGGCAUUAAACUGUAAAUUUAAUUACGAAACCUAGGGUUUCUUUCAUUA
rnacentral:tRNA from 1 species